rnacentral:rRNA from 1 species
CCUGCCAGUAGUCAUAUGCUUCGAUCAAGGACUAAGCCAUGCAUGUCUCAGCACAAACGGUCUCAACAGUGAGUCUGUGAAUGGCUCCUUACAUCAGCAGUCAUCCCUGUGAUAGAGUGCGGCUGGUGCCAUCCCUGCCAGGCACCCAAUUGGACAUCCUCCAAAACUUGGUGGCUAAUACACGUUUGCCGAGGUCUGCCAUGACAAACCUGCAUGGGGCAUCCUGGCCCCCGUGGCCAACGCCCCCGGAUGGUGGAUUGCACCCAGCCGCUGCGAAGACCAGCGCCAGGGAAUGGCAGUGUGUCUGGCUGACUCAGGCUGGUCCCCCUGUGGACGGACGUGCUGGCAGAGUGGUGGCUUCGGCCACAUAUGCACUGCUUGAUCACACGAACUUCUGACCUAUCAGCCUUGACUGUGGUGUAGUGGACCACAGUGGCCCUCACGGGUGACGGAGAAUCUGGGUUCGAUUCCGGAGAGGGAGCCUGAGAGACGGCUACCACUGCCAAGGCGGGCAGCAGGCGCGCAAAUUGCCCAAUACCAAAGCAAUCGGUGAGGCAACAACGAACAGCAGCAAUUCUGCCAGUACCUGUUGCUGGUGGAACUUGGAAUGGAUGCUAUCCAAACAUCGUUAUGAGUACCAACUGGAGGGCAAGUCUGGUGCCAGCAGCUGCGGUAAUUCCAGCUCCAGUGGCGUAUACUAACAUUGCUGCGGUUGAAACGUUUGUAGUCUGCCCCUGGGUGACUUGGUCUGCCAGGAGGCCGUUUCGGCGCGUGGGGGGCCCUCGGGUCCCCCGCCUGCAUGGGGCACAAACCCCUGGCAGUGAGUCCAGCACCCGCCUUCGGAUGGCCUGAGCAGCUCUUGCGUGAAGCCCCCUUCAGUGGAGGUUGAGGCAGUUGGUGCACCCAACACCUGCAUGGACAGUAUGGGUGUGUGGCCUUCGCGCCGCACAAGUUCCACCCAGUCCGCUACCAGAGCCGGCCAUCGCUGACACUAUGGAAAACUCAGUGUGCUCAAAGCAUCCAAUCCUUGGCUGAAUGCCUGUCCAUGGAAUGUCACAGCAUCGACCGAACGGGCCAUGGAGUUGUGCUGGCCUUGGUGCCCAUUCAGGGCAAACGGAUGUCCGUCCCCUGGUUCGCGUGGGGCAACCCACCGGGGCAAGGGCCGCGUGCGGGGGCCGCGGGCGGGCGUCUCCUCCCCCUCGUGGGGUCGGGCGCUUCACCCCGGUCUUUCCACCGGAUUCCUGCCCCACCAGCGGUGGCGGCAUCUACCGGACAUGAUGGGAUCGCUCAGGGUGAAAGGUACUGCAGCGCCAGAGGUGAAAUUCUUAGACCGCUGCAAGACCAACAGCAGCGCAGGCGUUCUGCAAGGGCGUGUCCGUCGAUCAAGAGCGAGAGCCUGGGGAUCGAAGAUGAUCAGACACCGUCGUAGUCCAGGGCCGUAAACCAUGUCAGCUCGGCGACAGCUGGGUAAACUGCCAGACCCAUGCUGCUGCCAUCACCUCCUGCAUCGAGAAAUCCAAGCCUUUGGAUUCCGGAGGGAGUACCGUUGCAAGGCUGAAACUUAAAGGAAUUGACGGAAUGGCACCACAAGGCGUGGAGUAUGCGGCUUAAUUUGACUCAACACGGGGAACGUUACCAGGUCAGGACGAAGCCGGGAUGGACAGAUUGAGAGCUCUUUCUUGAUCCUUCGGAUGGUGGUGCAUGGCCGCUCCUGAUUGGUGGAGUGAUUUGUCUGGUUGAUUCCGAUAACGAGUGAGACCUCUACCUCCCACUAGCCCCUGGGCCGUAUCUGUAGGGCUGGCCGUGGGCUGGUUUCGGCCUGAAAUCGUCGUCCCUCGGGGCGGCGGGCCCGCGAUUCACACCGCCCGAGGCCCAGGGUUCGCUUCUCUGAGGUGCUGUGUCCGUUCCAAAGGACAUGCAUGCUAGAGCCAACAGCAGGUCUGUGAUGCUCCCAGAUGUCCUGGGCCGCACGCGCACUACAUUGACUCAGUGAGGGUGUGACCUCGGCUUCACGCCGAGCCUGCACAGAAGUGUGUGGGAAAUCCUGCAAGCCUGAGCUGUACUGGGGAUAGAUGAUUGCAACUGUCUGCCUUGAACGAGGAAUGCCUAGUAUGCGUUGGUCAUCAGCCAACACAGAAUACGUCCCUGCCAUUUGUACACACCGCCCGUCGUUGCUACCGAUGGUGGCUGGACAGAGGCAUCAGGAGGCCUGUCUGGGUGCGCCCGGCGGGGUUCACGCCCCGUCGGGGUCCACGCACCCCAGCCGAAAUCGGUCAAUGUUCAGCCACUAGAGGAAGCAAAAGUCGUAACAAGGUUGUUGUAGGUGAA